UUUAAAGAGAGUUUGAUCCUGGCUCAGGACGAACGCUGGCGGCGUGCCUAAUACAUGCAAGUCGAACGAACGGAGGAAGAGCUUGCUCUUCCAAAGUUAGUGGCGGACGGGUGAGUAACACGUGGGCAACCUGCCUGUAAGUUGGGGAUAACUCCGGGA
rnacentral:rRNA from 1 species